GAAAUGCGAUACGUAAUGCGAAUUGCAGAAUUCAGUGAAUCAUCAAAUCUUUGAACGCAAAUUGCGCUCUCGGGAUAGGCCUGGGAGCACGCCUCUUUCAGUGUCGUUUCUCACAAACUCAACGGCGUUCUUUUUUGUUAAACGCAAAAACAGAGCGCGCAGUUGGAGAAUGAGCGUCCCGCUUUGGAUCACCCAUGAGCGAGUCGCUUUAAAUGAAGCGAGGCCUUGCGUUGCGUGUUCGCCGCCUCACUGGUGACGUGGAUAAUUUUCCUUUACUGGGAAUAUUUACGUUCACUCAGUGCGGGUGCUGUUGGACGGCAGCCAAUAGAAAAACAAGGCUGUAGAGAAUCUUAAACUCUGUCACAAAACAAGACCUGAAAUGAAGCGAGAGUACCCGCUGAACUUAA
rnacentral:misc_RNA from 1 species